AUGCUCACUUUGGCAGCAUGUAUACUAAAACUGAAAUAAUAAAGAGAAGAUUAGCAUGGCCCCUGAGCAAGGAUGACAUGCAAAUUCGUGAAGCAUUCCAUAUUUGA
ensembl:snRNA U6 U6 spliceosomal RNA